ACAUCAAUAUGUCCCUCAUGGAUGUCACAUAUAUGGUUGAGAACUGACAACAACUUUGCCUUCACAAGUUCUUCAUCACCAUUUCUGAAAGCAGCACACCAGUAUACAUGGUUGGAAAUUGAUUGGGCCCAAUCUGACAAUAAUUUGCAACCACUUUUUUUUGAUGCUGCCCAAAUGUUCUUUUUAAUUCCUGUUGGAUUUUGAUUAUUGAUGAAAUGUGUAAAAGGAUUUGAUUUGAGCAUGUCUGUCUGUGGUCAUUGACUUCACCUUCAUCCCACUUUCAUCAAACUUUGCCAGACAUCUCUUUAAUCCCUCAAGUUCCAUUGCUCCAGAGUUCGUCACUUCAUUGGACUAUGUAACAUAAUUAUAUUCCAAAUCCAUGCAGCUAUAUGACCCAUACUUGGCACAGUAUCCAGGCGAAUCACAUCUUCCAUCUCCUCCAAGGUUAAUGUUCCUUUCUCUGAUUGAUUCUAGAAGAUGCUUUUGGUUCAUAUGCCAAACAUUUGAAACACUGGGUAUCAAAUACGCUGUUUGAAUAUUGCUAUAUGUGCGCUCUGACAGAAAUUGUAUGCCUGAGUGACGAAGGAAUUGAAGAACUUUGCUGGGGCUACUACCACUAAACAAGAUGCUGGCAGCAAAGACCAAGUUACCCAAAGGCAUUCGCCCAUGCAGAGGUUGGCUAUUCCAGUCUCGAA